CCCGCACAUACAUUUCUUCUUCCUGUUUUGUUUUUUUUUAAGUUUAGGUUUUCUUAACGUGUCCUUUUGUUCCAUCAAAGUUUUUCUGCAUUUACAUCCAUCACCCAUGUUCCCUUAGAUGUUUCUCCUACUUUUCCCAAACCAAGAUUUGGGUGGAUCUCCUAAUCCAGCUCCAUGAAGACAUAUGGAUUGCAGUGGAAAAUCUACUGCUAUAAGCCUGCAAGACGCCAAAUGGCCAAAUGGAUUGUUCUUGUUACUCAGUGGUAGUAAUAAACGAGUGGAAGAAGGGAUGAAGUGUGUACGUGUGGAUGAAUGCAGUUACGUGCUGUCUGUCUCGCUGUCCCAGGUGUGAGACAUGCCAGUUAUAUCUUCACUUCAUCUGCUCUGCUGUUCAGUAAUCGAUAUCCUGACGUGCACGAGGAGAAAUCGAACCUGGACACGCUCUAAAAGGGGGAAGUGAUCCUGACCAUAGUCUUCCUCUCUCCGGGAGUCCGGAGCUGAACGGAAACUAUUCUAUCAUGUCAUAUUCUAUUCUCUUCUAUCAGACGAGUGUGUCCAAGGAGACUUUUACUGCUUGUGUUUACAUUUUCACCAGUUUGGACUGGAAAGAUUAAAAGAUAAACAAACUCUUUUCAGAUCCUUCACAGUUAAGAGAAA